UGGGGAAUUUUGCACAAUGGGGGAAACCCUGAUGCAGCGACGCCGCGUGAUUUAGAAGGCCUUCGGGUUGUAAAAAUCUUUUUUACGGGAUGAAAAUGACAGUACCGUAAGAAUAAGGUCCGGCUAAAUACGUGCCAGGAGCCGCGGUAAUACGUAUGGACCGAGCGUUGUCCGGAAUCAUUGGGCGUAAAGGGUACGUAGGCGGCCUAGUAAGUUAGAAGUGAAAUAAUAUAGCUCAACUAUAUAAAGCUUUUAAAACUGCUAGGCUUGAGAGAUGGAAGGGAAAGUGGAAUUCCUAGUGUAGCGGUGAAAUGCGCAGAUAUUAGGAAGAAUACCGGUGGCGAAGGCGACUUUCUGGUCAUCAUCUGACGCUGAGGUACGAAAGCGUGGGUAGCAAACAGG
rnacentral:rRNA from 1 species